ensembl:lncRNA
UAGAUGAUUGUAAAAUUGGCACACUUUUACCAAUGGGGCAUUUUCCUAUAGUCACUGCUCAGAUGAAGAAUUAGAUUAUCAUUAUUUCAAAAGACUCCUUUAUGGCUAUUUCUAGUUAUUACCAAGCAAAGGUAACCAUUAUGGCAUCACAUCAACAUUAUUCACAUUUCUUAUGUUUGAAUGUUAGAUAUGUAGAACCAUACUGAAUGGUGCACUCUGCUGUGUCUGGCUUCUUUAUUCAAUAUUACAUUUGUAAAACUGAACUAAAAUUAAGAAUUGGAUUGAAAAAUAUGACUUCUACAAAUCCGAUGUCUUGCUCCAUAUCAAACUGUGUUAAUAAUUUCAAAGAUAAUGGCAAUGAAAAACCUCAGAGAAGGAAGAAAGAAUACUGGGAUAAUCUGUGGCUCUCUAGACCUGAUCCUUCUUUUUCAAAUCCUUUCCUGUGUAGGCUUCAUUGAGAAAUCCUGGGCCAGUGUCUCUCUAAGGACCUUGAGAUCUGCCUGUAUACAGGAGACAGAUCUUGAAGGCUGUGUAGAGGAGACUGAGCCUUCAACUGACCAAUCUGAGUUACAACUAGCCCUUGGGAACAAAUUGAGUUCGUAAGUCAAGGGUUCACUGUAUGCUUUUAAAGUUGCCUUUCUCCCCUUAGCAUUAUGGGACUUAUCCCACUAGGAAGGGGAGGGGAGGCAACCUCCUGCCCUUUAUUCUGUGUGAUUUCUUGGGGAUGGGUGAGAACAAAGGCUGUGCACAGCAGAUGUAGUCUCUGGACACAUUCCUGACAGCUACCAGCCUGAAGAAUAAUUGAAUUAUCAAGUGUGCAAAAGAAGAAAAUAAAUAUGUGAACUCUCAACAUAUUAAUUUUUGUCUCACCAUAGAACAAUGAAACAGAGAAAGGAGAAAACACUGGAAGAGAAUUGGCUAAGAUUACAGGGAUAUAUUUUAUUUAUGUCAAGGAUGAAGAUGCAUAUACAAAAGCACACUAUUUCUAACACCCAGGAACAACAUGAUUUGCAUAGAUCCUUACAUGAAAUUUCAGGAAGAAAUGGACCUCAUUUAUUGGACUACUGCAAAGAUGAAUUGGCCACAGAAGACAGUAAAUCUCAUUUUGGAAAAGUUAUCCUUACUAUUGAAGGCUUCUAUCAAUAUCUAUAAAACAAGAAAGUAAUUUUGAAUAAAGAAGGAAUAAAAUAGUGGAAAAAUAAUAUAAAAACACUUGUAUAUUCAUGUUAAAAAUACUCUGCAGAGAGAAUUCCAACUCCUUACAUAUUGAUGUAGAUCUCGGUGGUCUUCAGUGUUUUAGUGUUUCUGUUUCUGUGUAUCAAGUAUUCUUGAAAUUGCUUUAAUAAGAAUUAUAUUACCCCAGGGAUAGGUAGAAAUUAUAUAUUGACAAGUUCAGCAUGGGAAAUGUUCCUUCCACUAAUUUUAGAAUCUAUAGAGGAAUUACCCAUUGGUCAAUUUUCUUAGAGAAGGAUACAGAAUUCAAAAUAAGCGAGAAUUUUCUCAGGAGACUUGAAGCAGACCAGUUACAUGUUGUUGGUAAUGAGGAAACAGAAUUGCUGAGAUGUAAUAAGCUCAGAGUUUGAGGGUGAUGGGGACAGAGGAGGCACAUGACUAGCUGUGUGUUAAAGAUAAAGGCCUUCUGGAGAAGAUGGCUUCCUUGUCUAAGGUUAUCCACAGAUACUCAGUCUUAUCUGUCAUGACUAUACACAUCCUGAAUGUGACAAAAAUAAACAAAGCAAACAAACAAAGCAGUCACUAAGCAAGUUCUCAUUGACUGAGCAUCAUGUUCUGUGCUCUAAUGCAAUCUUGCUCCAUGCCUCAACACAGCAAACUCAGCAUCUUCUUAUGAGCUUAUCAAGGUUCAAGCAAUCACUAUUGCACAACACCAGAAAAAACUGGAACACUGUUGUAUGCUUUAUAGCCUGAGGUUAUUUCAUAAUGUUAAUGGGUAAGUCUAUAACUUUUUUGUGGGCCAACUAACUGUUGUAUCAAGCUUUUUGUCUUUUACUGGUUUAGGUAGUAGUCCAUCCGGAAUUGACUUUUGUUUAUAGUGUGAAGAAGGAAUUCAGGAAAGAUGUGAGGUAUUUAGAUAUCAUUUUCAUUUGACUAAUUUUGAAGAGUAAUAAACAUUCUAGGAUAGGAUUAUACUGUAGUUCAAUUUUCAUAUAUGAUUUAAAAAUAAGAAGCAACAUCACGAAGAAGUUAUUUUUAUCCUAAAAUUUACAUAGUAGUGUAAAGGAUUAAAGCUAACCAAGACAUUCUUGAAGAACAAUAAAGUAGAAAAAUAGACAUGUAUCAGAGACCCCUGCAGCAGAUCCCAUCUUCUGCUUGGUGUUACAAUGCAUGAUGAGAAGACUUAGAGACAGAAUUAGAGAAACAGAGACAGGGAACUGGGAUGAUCAGCUCUUGUGCAAGCAAAGGCUUGAGAAAGCCAUAGCCCUGGCCAGCCAAAACAAUCAAUAUUUAUUGGUGACACAAUCAUUGGUUAAAUUGGGGUGAGGGGACUAUGUGUGGUUGCUAUAGAUGUGUUGCUGAGGCAGGCAAGGCUUGUAAAAGAAGAGACAAAGCAUUCUUGUGUUAGUUUGGGAAUGGUAUUUGGGUAAGAGUCACUUUGACCUCACUGUGUGUUAUCUCAUAGGCUUUGGUCAGACUUACUUCUUCAACUAAGCCAAUUGUGGGGUUAAUUCUUUACAGCCUGCAUUGUUUGCAGCAUUCUUUGUGCAGAAUCAAUGGGGCGGUUUGCCACAGGUGUGGAAAGAUAUAUGAAUGAAGAGAAUGUUAAUUGGUUUGUACUAAUAAAUCAGUGGAAAUGAACAGACUCAGGCACAUUUGGACAUUUGCUAUAUGAUAAGGAUAGUGUUGCAGAUGAGUAGAAAACAGUAAACUAUUCAUAGGUGGUGCUAAGUCUAUUGAUCACUCUCAUGGAAAAAUGAACUGAAUCCCUUCCUCACACCAUAAAUGAAACUGAAAGUGUAAAUGAGAAUCAGAGUGUAUAAUAGAUAAUAUGAAAUAGGAAGAAAAGGUCCAAAGGGGAAAGGAAGAGGGAGGGGUAGAGGAAAAGAAAGAUAGGAAAGGAAUAAAUAUGAGAAAAGGAAAAACCAGAAACAAAUUCUUUGUAAAUAGAAAGGGAUGGAAUGGUUGAAGGGAGGGCAGGGGAAUGGGGAAAAAAUAAGAAGCAAGAUAUAUCAUGUAAAUGUACAAAUUCCCAGUGAUGAAUGUCAUCACAUUGUACACCUAAAAUGUAUCAAUAAAAUUAAUGAAUAAAAAAGUGAAUUUCAGGUGGACUACUAUCUAAAUGCUAUAAGGUUUUUAGGAGAUAAAAUAGAAUGACACCUUUAUAACUUGGGGAAAAGAAAAUUUUAUUACAUCAUUUUUUAAAGUAAGACACAAAAACUUAACUAUGAAAGACUAAAAACAACUACAUAGAUUCCUAAAAGUCCCGAAGAAAAUUAAGUUAGAAAAAGGGACAAAAAUUUUGAACAAUCACUUUGUAAAAGAGAAAAUUCAAAUCUGCAUUAAUGGAUAAAAGAUACUUUAUUCAUUAGUAAUAAAAUAAACAAAUUAAAGCAGUUUUGUUUUUUACAUUUUUGUGAUUUGAUUUAAUUAACAUACCAUAAGCUGCAUGUACUCAAAGUAUCAGAUUUGAUGGCUUUUGAUGUAUGACUACUGUGAAAGUAUCGUGCCAGUUAAGGAUACAAACAUUUCUGUCUUCCCUCAAAUGCUAAUGGUGCUCUUGUAAUCCAUUCUUUCCAUUUCUCUUGCUCUUUCAGUCCUUAAGCAACAACUUACAAGUUGUGUGUUGUCACUCUAAGUUGUUGGGUUUUAAAAAAUUUUAAAUGUAAGUGGG